rnacentral:rRNA from 1 species
CCUACGGGAGGCAGCAGUGGGGAAUAUUGCACAAUGGGCGAAAGCCUGAUGCAGCAACGCCGCGUGAAGGAAGAAGGGUUUCGGCUCGUAAACUUCUAUCAACAGGUGCUCAAAAAAUGACGGUACCUGAAUAAGAAUCCCGGGCUAACUACGUGCCAGCAGCGGCUGUAAUCCGUAGGGGGCAAGCGUUAUCCGGAAUUACUGGGUGUAAAGAGUGAGUAGGCGGCAUGGUAAGCCAGAUGUGAAUGACUUGGGCUUAACCCGAGGAUUGCAUUUGGAACUAUCAAGCUAGAGUAAAGGAGAGGAAAGCGGAAUUGCUAGUGUAGCGGUGAAAUGCGUAGAUAUUAGGAAGAACACCAGUGGCGAAGGCGGCUUUCUGGACUGAAACUGACGCUGAGGCACGAAAGCGUGGGGAGCGAACAGGAUUAGAUACCCGGGUAGUC